UAAUGACGGACGGUCGGUUCUAAUGGGGAGAGAAAAGGCAGCCUUCAAUCAGUCUGAAUGCCAUUCACAUCCUACUGCAUGGACAGCAAAGUCAAAAGGGCAAACAUUAUGUGCAUCUGUGGAGCAGUGCAAGGAAUGUGUGCAUGCUUCUUUAGACAUGCAAGAUAUGAGAAGCAGAGAGAAGUAGUAGGAGAGCUGGUCUCAGGAAUGUGUUCACCACUGCCAAAAACAAGAGGCGUCGCACAGAUCCCGCUGGCAUGAUGCUGCCUGUGCAGGUGCACCGAGCAGACUGUGCCAAUGUAUAUAAAAAACACUGGGAUGAGGAGAUGAGAAUGUAAAAACAGCAGCUACUGCAACUGAAUACCUGCACACCACCUAAAACAAAAGCUAUUGUAUUCUCCUCUCUGUCAGCAACAUACAGUAAGAUAAAAUCCCAUUCAAUGUGCAACAUGAAAAAUAAAUUGUGCUUUCA